rnacentral:misc_RNA from 1 species
CAAAUGCGAUAAGCAAUGCGAAUUGCAGAAUUCCGCGAGUCAUCAGAUCUUUGAACGCAAGUGGCGCUGGGAUAACCAAUACCCCAGCAUGUUUGUUUCAGUGUAUUAGGAAUCAUAAAGCUUAAUGCGGUUGAAGGUGCCUUAAAAACACUUUCUCCCGUUGAAUGCGAAAGCGCUGUAGUGAAUCUCCGGCUUAGCCAACCGAGAUCACUUGCGAGAAGUGACUACUUCAGUCGGCACCGAACGAUUCAGCGCUUUUUAAAUUAUAAUUUCUCCAUUCAAUACCUGAAAUCAAGCAAGAUCACCCACUGAACUUAA